rnacentral:rRNA from 1 species
UCCCGUUGAUCCUGCGGGAGAUUGCUGCUAUUGGAGUUCGACUAAGCCAUGCAAGUCAAGGGGGUUCUUCGGAGCCACCGGCAAAAUGCUCAGUAACACGUCGAUAAUUUGCCCUUAGGUCAGGAAUAACCUCGGGAAACUGAGACUAAAUCCUGAUGAGAGAUAAAAAUUGGAAUAUUUCUUCUCUGAAAAGCAAUGCCUAAGGAUAAGUUGGCGGCAGAUUAGGUUGUUGGUGGGGUAAAGGCCCACCAAGCCAGUGAUCUGUAAGGGCCUUGAGAGAGGGAGCCCUGAGAAGGAUACUGAGAUACUGAUCCUAGCCCUACGGGGUGCAGCAGGCGCGAAACCUUUACACUGCACGAAAGUGUGAUAAGGGAACUCCGAGUGCUUAUACUAUGUAUAGGCUUUUGUUAAGAGUAAAAAUCUUAGCGAAUAAGUGGUGGGUAAGGCGGGUGCCAGCAGCCGCGGUAACACCUGCGCCACGAGUGGCAGUCAUUAUUAUUGGGCCUAAUGCGUCCGUAGCUGGUCUGUUAAAUCUUUUGUGAAAUCGUUGUGCUUAACAUAACGGCGUGCAGAAGAAACUGGCAGACUUGGGACCGGAAGGAGUCAGAGGUAUUCUUGGGGGAGCGGUAAAAUGCUAUAAUCCCAAGAGGACCACCUGUGGCGAAGGCGUCUGACCAGUACGGAUCCGACAGUGAGGGACGAAGGCCAGGGGAGCGAACCGGAUUAGAUACCCGAGUAGUCCUGGCAGUAAACGCUGUGAGCUAGGUGUUGCAUAUUCUACGUGAAUAUGCAGUGUCGAAGAGAAGUCGUUAAGCUCACCGCCUGGGAAGUACGGUCGCAAGACUGAAACUUAAAGGAAUUGGCGGGGGAGCACCACAAGGGGUGCGGCGUGCGGUUUAAUCUAAUUCAACACAGAGAAUCUCACCAGAAGCGACGGCAGGAUGAAAGUCAGGCUAAAGGCCUUACUUGACGAGCCGAGAGGUAGUGCAUGGCCGCCGUCAGCUCGUGCUGUAAGGUGUCCUGUUAAGUCAGGCAACGAGCAAGACCUGUACCUACAAUUUCCAGCAAGUCCUUUAGGAUGAUUGGGCACAUUGUAGGGACUGCCCGUGAAAACGGGAGGAAGGUGCAGGCUACGGUAGGUCUGUAUGCUCCGAAUCUUCUGGGCUACACGCGCGCAACAAUGGUAGAGACAAUGGGACACGACUCCGAAAGGAGAAGUUAAUCCUCGAAACUCUAUCUCAGUCCGGAUUGAGGAUUGUAACUCAUCCUCAUGACGUUGGAAUCCCUAGUAAUUGGGUUUCAUCAAAGCCCAGUGAAUAUGUCCCUGCUCCUUGCACACACCGCCCGUCAAACCAUCCGAGUGGGGUUUAGGUGAGACUUAGUUUUUAAUUAAGCCGAACCUAAGCUCCGCGAGGCAGGUUAAGUCGUCACAAGGUA